AAUGUUGGAUUUAUUUCAAUCUAUGUGUGUUGGUGUGGAUUGAGGUAAAAUUUAGUUCAAAUUCCAUCCCAGUCCACCUCAACAUAUAUGGAUUGAUGUGAAUCCUACU
rfam:Sorghum bicolor cultivar BTx623 chromosome 1, whole genome shotgun sequence.